rnacentral:rRNA from 1 species
UACAGAGGUCUCAAGCGUUGUUCGGAUUCAUUGGGCGUAAAGGGUGCGUAGGCGGCGCGGUAAGUCGGGUGUGAAAUCCCGGGGCUCAACCCCGGAACUGCAUUGGAUACUGCCUUGCUAGAGUACUGGAGAGGGAACUGGAAUUUACGGUGUAGCAGUGAAAUGCGUAGAGAUCGUAAGGAAGGCCAGUGGCGAAGGCGAGUUCCUGGACAGUUACUGACGCUGAGGCACGAAGGCCAGGGGAGCAAACGGG